CCUACGGGAGGCAGCAGUGAGGAAUAUUGGUCAAUGGGCGCGAGCCUGACCCAGCCAAGUAGCGUGAAGGAUGACUGCCCUACGGGUUGUAAGCUUCUUUUAUAAAGGAAUAAAGUUAUGCACGUGUGCCUUUUUGUAUGUACUUUAUGAAUAAGGAUCGGCUAACUCCGUGCCAGCAGCCGCGGUACUACGGAGGAUACGAGCGUUAUCCGGAUUUAUUGGGUUUAAAGGGAGCGUAGGUGGGUUGUUAAGUCAGUUGUGAAAGUUUGCGGCUCAACCGUAAAAUUGCAAUUGAUACUGGCAGUCUUGAGUACAGUUGAGGGAGGCGGAAUUCGUGGUGUAGCGGUGAAAUGCUUAGAGAUCACGAAGAACUCCGAUGGCGAAGGCAGCUUACUAA
rnacentral:rRNA from 1 species